UUCAGGUAUUGACCAACUUCACACAACUCUGUCGGGAGGAAAUAUUUGUUCGUCAUGUCAAAGCAGUUGAAACAAUUGAAUCUAAGGUAGAUGAAUUUGCAGUGCCAGCUGAUGUGUCAACAGAAACAACUUUUGGAUCAGGAGCAGAGCCGAGAACAGUUAAAAGAAACUAUGAACAGAUUAGAGGCUGCUCGAAAACUAGCUCAGAAAUAAACAUAUUGAGUUAAGUGAAAGGUUGAAGGAGACUUUAGAAAAUCUUCAGCAACAAUGUAAAACUAAAACUUUGGCAGAAAGAAAAAUGGCACAAGAUUUAAAGAAUUAUGAAAAUAAGGCUAAGAACCUUAACGUGUGCCUUGUAGAAACUUCUUCAAAA